rnacentral:rRNA from 1 species
CCUACGGGUGGCAGCAGUGAGGAAUAUUGGUCAAUGGACGCAAGUCUGAACCAGCCAUGCCGCGUGCAGGAUGACGGCUCUAUGAGUUGUAAACUGCUUUUGUACGAGGGUAAACCCCGAUACGUGUAUCGGGUUGAAAGUAUCGUACGAAUAAGGAUCGGCUAACUCCGUGCCAGCAGCCGCGGUAAUACGGAGGAUCCGAGCGUUAUCCGGAUUUAUUGGGUUUAAAGGGUGCGUAGGCGGUUUGAUAAGUUAGCGGUAAAAUCGCGGGGCUCAACCUCGCUCCGCCGUUGAAACUGGCGUUCUUGAGUGGGCGAGAAGUAUGCGGAAUGCGUGGUGUAGCGGUGAAAUGCAUAGAUAUCACGCAGAACUCCGAUUGCGAAGGCAGCAUACCGGCGCCCAACUGACGCUGAAGCACGAAAGCGUGGGUAUCGAACAGGAUUAGAUACCCCAGUAGUC